UUCGGGACGCUGGAGAAAAAAUAUUUUAGUCUCUUUGUUUUCCACGAUGAUCCGAUACAUGCAAAUAGAUAAUGGAAUGUUGUAAUUGACGAGACAAACCAUAGUUUUUAGGUUUACAUUUUCUCGAUAGGCCUUGCCUGUUGGAAUAUUUCUUUACGUGCUCGAGCUGCUUCAAACAACGGCAGUGGAGCUGCGGCGAAUGCUCGUUUUAAUUUGGAGAAAAAUUCUGGCUCUUGACAAGACUUGUCAGGUUGAUCUUGUGAAAUAUGGAGGUCAUACCUAUUUUAUUAAGUUUCUCGAUAGCAUGGAUGCUUACCCAAAACAUGGGGCAAUGGCCGCCUUUGUUUUAGCAGUUAUUGUUGAUGGGCACAAACGAGGACAAGAGGAAUGCAUGCAAGCUAAUCUUUUCCAUGUAUGCUUGAAGCAUCUGCAACUUGCAAACCCUAAUGAAGCACAAACUGAGCAUCUCCUACUUCAAUGGUCGUGCCUUUGGUUGGGAAAAUUUUGGGAGGAUUUUCAUGAAGCAUAAAUUAUUUGUUUACAAGCAGAUACACUAGUUAUUUUGCUCUAUUUGUUGUCUGAGCCCCAACCAGAGGUUUUACUUGGCCAUUCUCAUCGAUUUCAAGCAUUGGUGCUUCUAGGAAGAUUUCUUGACAAGGGACAUUGGGCUGUAGAUCAGGCCUUGCUUGUUGGAAUAUUUCCUUAUGUGCUCAAGCUACUUCAAACAAUGACGAUGGAGCUGCGACAAAUUCUCG